rnacentral:rRNA from 1 species
CCUACGGGAGGCAGCAGUGGGGAAUAUUGGACAAUGGGCGAAAGCCUGAUCCAGCAAUGCCGCGUGAGUGAUGAAGGCCUUCGGGUCGUAAAGCUCUUUUACCAGGGAUGAUAAUGACAGUACCUGGAGAAUAAGCUCCGGCUAACUCCGUGCCAGCAGCCGCGGUAAUACGGAGGGAGCUAGCGUUGUUCGGAAUUACUGGGCGUAAAGAGUACGUAGGCGGUUAUUCAAGUCAGAGGUGAAAGCCCGGGGCUCAACCCCGGAACUGCCUUUGAAACUAGAUAACUAGAGUCUUGGAGAGGUUAGUGGAAUUCCGAGUGUAGAGGUGAAAUUCGUAGAUAUUCGGAAGAACACCAGUGGCGAAGGCGACUAACUGGACAAGUACUGACGCUGAGGUACGAAGGCGUGGGGAGCAAACAGGAUUAGAUACCCUGGUAGUCCACGCCGUAAACGAUGAUAACUAGUUGUUCGGUCACUUGGUGACUGAGUGACGCAGCUAACGCAUUAAGUUAUCCGCCUGGGGAGUACGGUCGCAAGNUUAAAACCNCAAAGAUGACGNUGNGANGCGAGCGACACGAGGAGAG